UCCUACGGGGCGCAGCAGUGGGGAAUAUUGGGCAAUGGGCGCAAGCCUGACCCAGCAACGCCGCGUGAAGGAAGAAGGCUUUCGGGUUGUAAACUUCUUUUAAGAGGGAAGAGAAGAAGACGGUACCUCUUGAAUAAGCCACGGCUAACUACGUGCCAGCAGCCGCGGUAAUACGUAGGUGGCAAGCGUUGUCCGGAUUUACUGGGUGUAAAGGGAGCGCAGGCGGCGCGUUAAGCCUGGUGUGAAAGCCCGCGGCCCAACCGCGGGACUGCAUUGGGAACUGGCGCGCUGGAGUGCCGGCGGGG
rnacentral:rRNA from 1 species